UACAGAGGAUGCAAGCGUUAUCCGGAAUCAUUGGGCGUAAAGCGCGUGUAGGCGGCUCGGUAAGUCCGCUCUGAAAGUCCAGGGCUCAACCCUGGGAUGCGGGUGGAUACUGCCGGGCUCGAGUCCGGAAGAGGCGAGUGGAAUUCCCGGUGUAGCGGUGAAAUGCGCAGAUAUCGGGAGGAACACCAACGGCGAAAGCACUCUGCUGGGCCGACACUGACACUGAGAGACGAAAGCUAGGGGAGCGAAUGGG
rnacentral:rRNA from 1 species